rnacentral:rRNA from 1 species
AUGCAUUUGCCUGACUAUAUUGAUCCUGCCCAGAAAGCUUUUAUUAAAGGUAGACGCAUUAGUAACAAUAUCAUUAUUGCGCAAGAGGUCACUCAUUCUUUUGCUCUCAAAUCUUCGAAACAUCAAGCUUUCUUGCUGAAAAUUGACCUUGCGAAAGUGUUCGAUCGUAUCGAAUGGUAUUUCAUUGUCUCAGCUCUUUCUCGUAAGGGGCUGCAUUAUCAUUUUAUGAAUUUGAUUUAUGUGUGCAUAUCGUCUCCUGUGUUCUCUGUAAUUAUUAAGGGUCAACCUUUUGCGAAUUUUCGCAGCACAAGGGGCAUCAGACAGGGUUUCCCAUUGUCUCCAUAUCUCUUUGUUCUUGUGAUCAAUGAGCUCUAUUUGGAUUUGCAGGAGGCCAUGGCCCAAAGCCAUCUUACAGGUAUCUCCCUUGGUCCAAAUUGUCCUCCCAUAUAUUCCAUAAUUUUUGCUGAUGACUUGCGUGUGUGCUCCCCAUGA